UGAUGGGCUGUCGCGGCCCAUACAAAUUUGAUUGCAUAUUAGGAAUGCAGUAUAGACUAGGAAGUGACUCCUAGGUCGUCUCUCAAGGACCAAACUGUGGUUCGAGAAUCAGGUCAAACACAAAGGGGGGGGGAGGGGGGGUUGUGAAAGGUUUAUGAAUGCGAUAAACUAAAUUAAAACACGAAUGCAAACAAAAGUGUAAAAGAAAUGUAAAAACAGGAUGUGAAAACGGUUGGUCAUUAACUCAAUUACUAUGCUUCCAAUCACAGAUUAACGACAAGUACACACUACUCUAAUCCAAAUCCGACACGAAUCACCCAACUAAGCGAAGGCUAAUUCGGUCUUCAAAUUGCAAACUAAGCGAAUGCAAUGCACAAAUUUAAUCAGUCAUCCACCAUACAGUCUAAUCAACUAAGCGAAGAUUAAACACCGAUUAGGCAACUAAGCGUAUACUUAAUCGCAGGCAGACAACAGAUUAAACAUUGAGCAAAAUCAAAGCAGCAGUAUGGCAAUUAAAGUUCAAAAGUCUCAGAGAAGCAAAGUAAUUUUAUUAAUGACCAACCCGACUAUCUUAAGCUAACAUAACAAUUAAAUCAACACAAUCAAACAUAACAGACCACAUAGUGAACGAAAACAAUAAAUCGAACGGUGCUAAACCAAGAUGUGUGAACCAAUUAAAAGGCAGAUAAUAAAGAAACACUUGACUAAAAAUGAAAUGUGCAUAUGAACCCAACUAAAUGUAACGAGCAAGCUAAAUAUUAAAUUGCAAUUCAUCAUGAAAAAGCUCUAAAUGAAAAGGAAGCGUGAAAGUAGAAUAAAACCCAAGUGACUAAGCUGCCUCCCAUCUAAUCACCAUGCACCACUUUUCUCCAACUGAAAAGCAAAUAAAACUUGUAAAAUUCCUUCAAUACCGUAACCAAUCUGCACCACUUCUAGAAGCCAAAAUAAAAACAAUCCCCAAUGUGCUUCCAAUCAGCGUUUCUUCAAUCUAAAAUCAAAUAAAU
rnacentral:lncRNA from 1 species